UAGAGUACACAAGAGGCAGGCGGAAUGCGUGGUGUAGCGGUGAAAUGCAUAGACAUCACGCAGAACCCCGAUUGCGAAGGCAGCCUGCUAGGGUGAAACAGACGCUGAGGCACGAAAGCGUGGGUAUCGAACAGGAUUAGAUACCCUGGUAGUCCACGCAGUAAACGAUGAAUACUAACUGUUUGCGAUACAAUGUAAGCGGUACAGCGAAAGCGUUAAGUAUUCCACCUGGGGAGUACGCCGGCAACGGUGAAACUCAAAGGAAUUGACGGGGGCCCGCACAAGCGGAGGAACAUGUGGUUUAAUUCGAUGAUACGCGAGGAACCUUACCCGGGCUCAAACGCAGGGGGAAUAUAUAUGAAAGUAUAUAGCUAGCAAUAGUCACCUGCGAGGUGCUGCAUGGUUGUCGUCAGCUCGUGCCGUGAGGUGUCGGCUUAAGUGCCAUAACGAGCGCAACCCCUAUCGACAGUUACUAACGGGUCAAGCCGAGGACUCUGUCGAGACUGCCGGCGCAGGCCGCGAGGAAGGUGGGGAUGACGUCAAAUCAGCACGGCCCUUACGUCCGGGGCGACACACGUGUUACAAUGGCAGGUACAGAAGGCAGCCAGUCAGCAAUGACGCGCGAAUCCCGAAAACCUGUCUCAGUUCGGAUUGGAGUCUGCAACCCGACUCCAUGAAGCUGGAUUCGCUAGUAAUCGCGCAUCAGCCAUGGCGCGGUGAAUACGUUCCCGGGCCUUGUACACACCGCCCGUCAAGCCAUGGAAGCCGGGAGUACCUGAAGCAUGCAACCGCAAGGAGCGUACGAAGGUAA
rnacentral:rRNA from 1 species